ACUCCUACGGGAGGCAGCAGUGGGGAAUAUUGCACAAUGGGCGCAAGCCUGAUGCAGCAACGCCGUGUGAGUGAAGAAGGUUUUCGGUAUCGUAAAACUACUGUCCUAAGGGAAGAAACAAAUGACGGUACCUUAGGAGGAAGCCCCGGCCUAACUACGUGCCAGCAGCCGCGGUAAUACGUAGGGGCGAAGCGUUAUCCGGAAUCACUGGGCGUAAAGGGUGCGUAGGCGGCUUAGCAAGCCAGGGGUGAAAGGCAUUGGCUCAACCAAUGUAAGCCUUUGGAACUGUUAAGCUUGAGUGCAGGAGAGGUAAGUGGAAUUCCUAGUGUAGAGGUGAAAUUCGUAGAUAUUAGGAGGAACACCAGUGGCGAAGGCGACUUACUGGACUGUAACUGACGCUGAUGCACGAAAGCGUGGGUAGCGAACAGGAUUAGAUACCCUGGUAGCACAG
rnacentral:rRNA from 1 species